rnacentral:lncRNA from 1 species
GUUGAUCUCUUCUUCUAUAGAGACCCUGAGGAGGCCAAGGAAAAGGAAGAUGAAGAUCUUCCUCAAAUCCCAGAUUAUGGAACUGCAGAUUAUGCUGCACCUGGUAUCAUCGGGGCUGAUCAAUGGCCUACCCAAGUUUCUGAUGCUCCAUGGCCAACAGAUACCCCUACAACUAUCCCGGCAGUUCCUGUUGUUGGCUGGACCGCAGAACCAGGUUUCACUUGUUAACCAUUUAACCGUUGUAAAUUGUGUUAGAAUCAUCACAUUUUUGUUGUAUUACCUUGUUCGAUUCUGCAGGCUGUGAGAAACAUUUGAGCUUAAUCACAUUUUAUGUUAUCAAGUAUGCAUCUGUUUUUGGUCAGUUGUACCUUUUCUGACACAUGUUUGUUUC